GGUCAUCGGGUUUUGGACUGUGUCGGUGGGUUCUAGAUCGUACCCUCGAAUUUUGGACCAUGCCGGUGGGUUCUGGGCCAUCAGAUUCUAGACCAAGCUAGUGGAUUCUGGGUCAUGCCCAUGAGUUCUGGACCAUGCCGGUGGGCUUUGGGUCAUGCCCAUGAGUUUUGGGCCAUGCCGGUGGGUUCUGGGCCAUGUCGACAAUUGUGGGCUGUGCCGUCAGGUUCUGAGCCAUCGGAUUCUGGGUC
rnacentral:lncRNA from 1 species